rnacentral:rRNA from 1 species
UACAGAGGUCCCGAGCGUUGUUCGGAUUCACUGGGCGUAAAGGGUGCGUAGGUGGCUUGACAAGUUUGAUGUGAAAUCUCCGGGCUUAACCCGGAAAAUGCAUUGAAUACUGUAGAGGCUUGAGGUUUGGAGGGGGGACUGGAAUUCUCGGUGUAGCAGUGAAAUGCGUAGAUAUCGAGAGGAACACCAGUGGCGAAGGCGAGUCCCUGGACAACACCUGACACUGAGGCACGAAAGCCGGGGGGAGCAAACAGG